rnacentral:tRNA from 1 species
GCGGUGUAGCUCAGUUGGUUAGAGCACAGGCUUCAUAAGCCUGGGGUCGCCGGUUCAAGUCCGGCCGCCG